rnacentral:rRNA from 1 species
GAUGAACGCUGGCGGCGUGCCUAAUACAUGCAAGUCGAGCGAACGGACGAGAAGCUUGCUUCUCUGAUGUUAGCGGCGGACGGGUGAGUAACACGUGGAUAACCUACCUAUAAGACUGGGAUAACUUCGGGAAACCGGAGCUAAUACCGGAUGAUAUUUUGAACCGCAUGGUUCAAAAGUGAAAGACGGUCUUGCUGUCACUUAUAGAUGGAUCCGCGCUGCAUUAGCUAGUUGGUAAGGUAACGGCCUACCAAGGCAACGAUGCAUAGCCGACCUGAGAGGGUGAUCGGCCACACUGGAACUGAGACACGGUCCAGACUCCUACGGGAGGCAGCAGUAGGGAAUCUUCCGCAAUGGGCGAAAGCCUGACGGAGCAACGCCGCGUGAGUGAUGAAGGUCUUCGGAUCGUAAAACUCUGUUAUUAGGGAAGAACAUAUGUGUAAGUAACUGUGCACAUCUUGACGGUACCUAAUCAGAAAGCCACGGCUAACUACGUU